rnacentral:lncRNA from 1 species
UAAUAAUCAAAGAUGAUCGUGGAUAUCCAAUAUCCCAAGUACGAAUGUCUAAAAAUAGAAGGUUUGCUUUAAACAUUCCUUAUGACUCACCAAAUGUUUAAGUGCCAUUAUAGAUGAUAAGAAUUGGUUGUGGCACUUGAGACUUGGACAUUUAAAUUUUGAAGGAUUAAGAUUGCUAUCAAAGAAAAAGAUGUUGAAAUGGUUGCCAAAUAUUGAUCAUCCAAAUGAAGUUUGUGAAAGUUGUGUUCUUGGCAAGCAUGCAAGAACAAAUUUUGCAAGGGAGACAAGUUGGAGAGCAAAGAAGCCACUGGAGUUGGUCCAUACAGAUAUAUGUGGUCCGUUGAAGCCAAUAUCAAAUGGACAAAACAGGUACUUUUUUACAUUUAUUGAUGACUAUUGUAGAAAGACAUGGGUAUAAUUUCUCAAGAAAAAGUCAGAGGCGUUGAAUGCAUUUAAAGAAUUUAAGUCCAGUGUUGAAAAACAAAGUGGCUAUCACAUAAAGAUAUUGCGGUCAGAUUAGGGAGGAGAAUAUACUUCUGAUGCGUUUAAAAGCUUUUGUAAUUUGAAUGGCAUUAGAUAACAGUUCACACCAGCUUACACUCCCCAAUUGAAUGGCGUAGUUGAACGAAAGAACCGCACAAUUCUCGAUAUGGCGAGAAGUAUGUUAAAAGAUAAGAAAUUACCUAAAGGAUUUUGGGCUGAAGCAAUUUCAACUGCAAUAUAUUUAUUGAAUCGGUGUCCUACCAAGAAUGUUCGUGGAGUAACACCUGAAGAGGCUCAUAUAAGCCUAGUGCAAAUCACCUUCGAGUAUUUGGAUGUAUAGCUUGUGUAAAGAUCCCAGAAGCAAGAAGAGCUAAACUUGAUGACAAAGGGCAGAAAUGUAUAUUUAUUGGCUAUGGUGAUAGGAUAAUGGGAUACAAGUUAUACAAUCCCAUUACAAAAGAUAUUAUCAUGAGUCGAGACGUAAUCUUUGAAGAAGAUAAAGCUUGGAAUUGGGAGAAUGCUAAAGACUUUGAGCAAGUUCGUUUAAUUCUUGAGCAAG